rnacentral:lncRNA from 1 species
GCCUAUUUUCCAUCCUUCGUGUAUGUCCUGUCAAGGUUAGUAUAAGACAAGAAACAAAAAACAGGAAUAUGUUCCUAUCAACUAAUAGGAUGUGGCUACAAGUCGCUCAACUCUCAAGCUAAAAAUCAAGUUCUUACAAGUUCUUACCAUGCAAAACAGGAAGGUGAUGGCCAGCGGCGUGACCAAGCCCUCCGAAGAUUAAAUGUAUCGAUGCCUCGGUAACAAACCAACCUAGGUGUAGAAUCUGUGGAGCUUGGAGGCUUUUGUGAGUAGCAAGGAAUAUCAAAUAAUCAAAUCAGCAAUGCAAAGUUGAAAAUAUGCUCAAUAAUGCUAGUCCUAACUGUUGGAGUCGAUAAGAACGAAUUACAGAAAUAAUCUAAGCCUAGAUACUGAAGAAGAUAGGAUAGAAAGAUCAAAAGAUGGCACAACAAGUAAAUCCCUAGGAUUUUUUUUUCUUUUUUUUUUGUGGCCUUCUGUUUGGCUUCUUAUUCUUUUCUUCUUCUUUUUUUCUUUUUUUUUAACCCCAGAAACUCACGCAAAAGAAGGACCGGAAAAUUGUACGUCGGUCUGUCGAAGAACAGCAAAGGCUCCAGUAAGGAAAAUUCAGAAAAAUAUGGAAAAAUAUGGGUUAGAAGCGUAUCGACACAAACUUUCCAGCAAGGGCAAGAUCACUCAAAACGGAUGUCGGACGGUGGAGAAAACUGAAAAACACCGGGCUGCAGCGACGCCGAAAAACGGAUGCAGAAACUUGGAAGCUCCGAAAUUCCACCUUACAAACCGAAUUUGAGGGUUAAAGUGCAGGGCAAAACCUUGGAUAUUUCCUAAUGCGCCUCGUCGUGAGCUUUCGAAAAAGUCCAAGAACAUCCAAAUCCGAGUUGGUACGCAAAAGAUACGUCCGUUUUACUGAACACGGGUCAAACCCACCCGAAACUAAAAUUCUACUCGGACUCGGAUCCGAAACUGACUCGAACUCUUUCUCUUUUUUUUUCUUUCUUUCUUUCCUUUUUUUCUUCUUUCCUUUCUUUUUUUUUAAACCUUUCCGAACAAUUUGAUCUCUAAACAAAAUUCGAUCUAUGAUGAAACACUUUCCAAAAGCACUCCUUAUUGGAUUCGGACUCGAACUUGCGGCUGAAAACUAGAACUUGCCGACUCGAUGUAGGACUCGAAGAGGGACACGGUGUAGGACUCGACGAGGGACUCGGUGUAGGACUCGACGAGAGACUCGGUGUAGGACUCGGUGUAGGACUCCAAGAAGGACUCGGUGUAAGACUCCAAGAGGGACUCGGUGGAAGAUAUGGUGGCGGCGGGAGAUUAUGGCGGUGGUGUGGCAGGAAGUUUGGUGGCGGAAGAUUGAUGAAGGAAACCUGAAAAGCAAGUUCGAUCUAGUAGAAAAAAAUCUGAAAAACGAUCCAAUCUAAUCCAGCAACUCGACACGAUUAAUGCAGCAAAGAUUCAACAAUGCAAAUACUAAUGUGAAAAUUACAAGGCUCAGAUUGGUUCUAGGACAAGGUAACUAAUUCUAAUUUUUGGCUUUUUCUUGAUGAUAGGUAAAAACAGAUCUACACUAGGGAUAAAUUGAUAACUCUCGAUUUGGGUAGGAGGUGACGUUGACGAUCCGACUACGGCCUAGGAGGCAGCGCCUUAGCAAUCGAUACACCAACUUCAGAGGGUUAUUGAUCACGCGGGGCACGAUCAACCUGACCACGAAGGUCUUUGUUCCUGCAAGCAAUCGAAGAACAAGUAAGAACAAGAUAAAUAGCAGAUGCAAUCUAAAAUUGCGAGUAUAGUAUAUCAAACCAAUGUCUCAACGAGACGAUAAGUUGCAGUCUUGACGACGGUAAAACAGGUGGUCUAACCGACACACGCGAUUACACGAAAGUAGCAAAGAUGGCUAAACUUUAUCUAAUCAAAACCCAAUGCUCCUUAGGGGGGCUCAUGGGGUAUAUAAAGGAGGAGGGAGAGAUAUUUUCGUCCACGUUGAGUAAGGAGGC